GAUGAAGAACGUAGCGAAAUGCGAUAAGUAGUGUGAAUUGCAGAAUUCAGUGAAUCAUCGAAUCUUUGAACGCACAUUGCGCCCCUUGGUAUUCCAAGGGGCAUGCCUGUUCGAGCGUCAUUUGUACCUUCAAGCUCUGCUUGGUGUUGGGUGUUUGUCUCGCCUCUGCGUGUAGACUCGCCUCAAAACAAUUGGCAGCCGGCGUAUUGAUUUCGGAGCGCAGUACAUCUCGCGCUUUGCACUCAUAACGACGACGUCCAAAAGUACAUUUUUACACUCUUGACCUCGGAUCAGGUAGGGAUACCCGCUGAACUUAAGCAUAUCAAUAAGCGGAGGA
rnacentral:misc_RNA from 1 species